rnacentral:rRNA from 1 species
GAUGAACGCUGGCGGCGUGCCUAAUACAUGCAAGUCGAGCGAACGGACGAGAAGCUUGCUUCUCUGAUGUUAGCGGCGGACGGGUGAGUAACACGUGGAUAACCUACCUAUAAGACUGGGAUAACUUCGGGAAACCGGAGCUAAUACCGGAUAAUAUUUUGAACCGCAUGGUUCAAAAGUGAAAGACGGUCUUGCUGUCACUUAUAGAUGGAUCCGCGCUGCAUUAGCUAGUUGGUAAGGUAACGGCUUACCAAGGCAACGAUGCAUAGCCGACCUGAGAGGGUGAUCGGCCACACUGGAACUGAGACACGGUCCAGACUCCUACGGGAGGCAGCAGUGGGGAAUCUUCCGCAAUGGGCGAAAGCCUGACGGAGCAACGCCGCGUGAGUGAUGAAGGUCUUCGGAUCGUAAAACUCUGUUAUUAGGGAAGAACAUAUGUGUAAGUAACUGUGCACAUCUUGACGGU